GCAUCAGUGGUGGAAUUGGCAGACACGCAGGGUUUAGGUCCCUGUGCGCGAAAGCGUGUGUGGGUUCGAGUCCCACCUGAUGCA
rnacentral:tRNA from 1 species